rnacentral:rRNA from 1 species
GACGAACGCUGGCGGCGUGCUUAACACAUGCAAGUCGAACGAUGAACCCGGAGCUUGCUCCGGCGGAUUAGUGGCGAACGGGUGAGUAACACGUGAGCAACCUGCCCCGGACUCUGGAAUAAGCGCUGGAAACGGCGUCUAAUACUGGAUAUGACACCAAUCAGCAUGGGUAUGGUGUGGAAAGUUUUUCGGUCUGGGAUGGGCUCGCGGCCUAUCAGCUUGUUGGUGAGGUAAUGGCUCACCAAGGCGACGACGGGUAGCCGGCCUGAGAGGGCGACCGGCCACACUGGGACUGAGACACGGCCCAGACUCCUACGGGAGGCAGCAGUGGGGAAUAUUGCGCAAUAGGCGAAAGCCUGAUGCAGCGACGCCGCGUGAGGGAUGACGGCCUUCGGGUUGUAAACCUCUUUCAGCAGGGAAGAAGCGAAAGUGACGGUACCUGCAGAAGAAGCACCGGCUAACUACGUGCCAGCCGCCGCGGUAA